CUGAGAAGGCGCUCAGGCACUGACCACUGGGACUCCUCAACACCAGCCCCGAAUCCACAGACUGGUGACUCUGGGCAGCUACUGGCCACAAGGAUAAGGCAUUGCUCUGUUGGAUGCUACCCCAGAUGGAUCUAGGAAGACAUAUGGCAUGGCUGCUGUCUCAUCAGUUAGGAAAUAGCUGAGCAAUCCCUGUGCUGCCCACUGAACGUGUCACCUUCCUGAUCAGGGGCUUCCUUUGUAAAUUAUGUAUCUUCAAACUUUGACAUAAACUUGGCUCUGGAACACCCAUUGUUUUUUC